CUCCUUCAUUACUUUUAGUUGAUUGUCUGGC
rnacentral:piRNA from 1 species